CGUAGCUCAAUUGGAUAGAGCAGCGGACUUCUAAUCCGCAGGUUGCAGGUUCGAUUCCUGCCG
rnacentral:tRNA from 1 species